rnacentral:lncRNA from 1 species
UUGGUAUUAGAGGUGCAUUCCUCGAAACCAUUCUUUGCACAUAUAGUUGAAAUAAAUUUAAUGUAAUUCGAAUCUCAAACCAUUAUCAUAUAAUGUAGGUAAGGAAAUGUGAGGAGAUGAAGGCCUCCGCUAAACAGAGCAGCCUGGGAGGGAUCACUACGAGAUGAUUUUGAUUUACUCUUCGAAAUGCUUGAGAGAAUGAUUUCUACCAAGUAGGCUAGAGAUGAGAAAAAGGAGUUGUCUG